rnacentral:lncRNA from 1 species
CCGCUGCCAUUCUUCUGAUUGUUCUUUUGUCAUUCUCAUUUUCUUGUUCGGGAUACCUUUGAUUCUUGAUAUAUUCUAAGACAUCAUGGAACCAUGGUCGUCUAUCUGGCUCUUUUUCAAUGCUGAAACAAUGUGCAGGGACUUCAUAUAUGCUCAUUUGAAGAGGCAUUAUUUCUGUUUCUCUGUUUGCUUUGAAAAUUGAAGCCAAAGUGGCCAGGGCAUCAACCAAUUGGUUUUCUUCUCGUGGGAAGUAAUUAAAAGUUAUUUCUUUGAAUUCUUUAAUUAGUCCUGCCAC